UUUUCCGAGCUAAACAGGCCUGAGUUAUCCCCCUUAGAUUAUGACGUAAUUGGUGCCAAUUUAACUGGGUCCCUGUCUUGUCACAACGCAAAAGAUAUCAAGUACCAGUUUAUGGUGAGACAACAUGGCAUCCGAUACCUUGCCUGGUCCGAAGAAGUUCCCUUGACCCUUCAAGAAAUCGCAAAACCAUACGAUUUUGAACCAAAACAAGCAAGCUUCGCGAAUCUAUCUACACCUCCUAAACAAGAGGUUCACUUUGGGGAUUUGCAGAAAUAGUU